GGGCUUGACAUCCCACGAACCUGCCUGAAAGGGCGGGGUGCCCGCAAGGGAGCGUGGAGACAGGUGGUGCAUGGCUGUCGUCAGCUCGUGUCGUGAGAUGUUGGGUUAAGUCCUGCAACGAGCGCAACCCUCACCCCUAGUUGCCACCGGGUAAUGCCGAGCACUCGAGGGGAACUGCCAGCGUCAAGCUGGAGGAAGGCGGGGAUGACGUCAAGUCAUCAUGCCCCUUACGCCCUGGGCUACACACGUGCUACAAUGGCCGGUACAAAGGGACGCAAGACCGCGAGGUGGAGCUAAUCCCAAAAAGCCGGUCUAAGUUCAGAUUGCAGUCUGCAACUCGACUGCAUGAAGGAGGAAUCGCUAGUAAUCGCGCAUCAGCCCGGCGCGGUGAAUACGUUCCCGGGCCUUGUACACACCGCCCGUCACACCACGAAAGCUGUCUGUACUCGAAGUCGCUGAG
rnacentral:rRNA from 1 species